CUAACAUCUCCUGCUAGGCUCCACCUCUUAAAGCUCUCACCAUCCUACUGGGGAACCAAGCUUCCAACACAUGAGACCUGUAUCCAAAACCCAGUAGCUUGUAAAGGGGCAGGAGACACAUCCUAAGAGAAGAAAAUCUACCUACUGCAGGACUCUAGGACAAAGAAACGAAGACCCAGAGACAAAGACAGCAGGGACAUCCACUGUGCCUCUAUUUUCAACAGAGACUAUUUUAGAAGCUAUUGAACCUACCCUCGAAGAAGAGAACCAAUAUGGACCCAUCACCAAGUUGAAUAGCACUAUCACAAAGCAAUGGGUGAGUAAACUGGAUUUCUGAGUCAACCGAUUUGCAGCCAUAAUUGUUGAGCAAAGCCAGAGUUGCAAAAGGCCAGAUGGUCUUGCACAUGAACAUCACCAGACGACCUAGAGAACUGCAAAGAAAAGACGUGCAUGGGUAAUGCCACACCAACUCCAGAAAUGGUUUGUUCUGGGAGGAAGGUGAAGCAAAGAGAAAGGGUGUUGAAAGCUGGUUUCUAAGCAUUACGUCUGAAAAAAACAACUAAAUAUGACUACAUUCUAAUAUCUAUUAUUAACUCUGAAAAGUAGAUACCUAGGUAUAUGACAUAUGUUAUAUUUCUUCUUAUUUUUGUUGAGGCUUUAUGAUUUCAUUUCUUAAAGUUUCUUUUAAAAGCUUCACAAGGGAUACAUAACCAGUACUCAAGAAAACUCUGUGAGACAAGAAGAAAAUU
rnacentral:lncRNA from 1 species